UGGGGAAUUUUGCACAAUGGGGGAAACCCUGAUGCAGCGACGCCGCGUGAUUUAGAAGGCCUUCGGGUUGUAAAAAUCUUUUCUAUGGGAAGAAAAUGACAGUACCAUAGGAAUAAGGACCGGCUAAUUACGUGCCAGCAGCCGCGGUAAUACGUAAGGUCCGAGCGUUGUCCGGAAUCAUUGGGCGUAAAGGGUACGUAGGCGGGUAAGCAAGUUAGAAGUGAAAUCCUAUAGCUCAACUAUAGUCAGCUUUUAAAACUGCUCAUCUUGAGGUAUGGAAGGGAAAGUGGAAUUCCUAGUGUAGCGGUGAAAUGCGCAGAUAUUAGGAGGAAUACCGGUGGCGAAGGCGACUUUCUGGCCAUAACCUGACGCUGAGGUACGAAAGCGUGGGUAGCAAACAGG
rnacentral:rRNA from 1 species